UACGUAGGGGGCAAGCGUUGUCCGGAAUUAUUGGGCGUAAAGCGCGCGCAGGCGGUCAUGUAAGUCUGGUGUUUAAUCCCGGGGCUCAACCCCGGAUCGCACUGGAAACUGUGUGACUUGAGUGCAGAAGAGGAGAGUGGAAUUCCACGUGUAGCGGUGAAAUGCGUAGAUAUGUGGAGGAACACCAGUGGCGAAGGCGACUCUCUGGGCUGUAACUGACGCUGAGGCGCGAAAGCGUGGGGAGCAAACA
rnacentral:rRNA from 1 species